CUGAGAAUGAGUUUUAAUGAAUUUUUGAAAAUGACAUAAUUGUAGUAUAUUAACUGUAUUGCAUUGAAUACAAGUUUGCUUUAAUAUCUGAGGAAUUUUACAGUAAAUCUGGAUGAAACUUGGCACACAGGUACAUAGGUGUCCCAGAGUAAGAAUCUGUUGAAAGUUGGACAUCAACUACUAAGGAUGAUUUUUAAUGAAUUUUUGAAAAUGACAUAAUUCUAUUUUAUUGACUGUAUUGAAUUGAAUACGAGUUUGCUUUAAUAUCUGAGGAAUUCUACAGUAAAUCUGGCUGAAACUUGGCACAGAGGUACAGUAGGUGUCCCAGAGGAGGGAUGUGUUGAAAGUGGGACAUCAACUACUAAGGAUGAUUUUUAAUGAAUUUUUGAAAAUGACAUAAUUCUGUUGUAUUGACUGUAUUGCAUUGAAUAAAAGUUUCCUUUAAUUUCUGAGGAAUUCUACAGUAAAUCUGGCUGAAACUUGGCACACAGGUACAGUAGGUGUCCCAGAGGAGGGAUGUGUUGAAAGUUGGACAUCAACUACUCAGGACGAUUUUUAAUGAAUUUUUGAAAAUGACAUAAUUGUAGUAUAUUAACUGUAUUGCAUUGAAUACAAGUUUGCUUUAAUAUCUGAGGAAUUUUACAGUAAAUCUGGAUGAAACUUGGCACACAG
ensembl:lncRNA